CCCAUUCAUGUGUAAGCUCCUGGGAGUCACCCCCAAACCCACAAUGGCUUCCUGGUGGUCACCCAGGAAACGCUUGUGAACUCUUACAACCAGCAGCCAGGUGAGAUACAGAAGCAGCCACCAGAAAACUGUCAGCAUAGUCUGCUCUGGCCUGAGGUAGAAAAGAAUCAAAAAAAGGUGGGCAGGAGGGAAUUCAAGCAGAAUAAUCCUGUUUACCAGCAGCUUUGGAGCCCCAGGAACAAGAAGCCAACAGCUCCAGACAGCAGCGGAGGCAGAGAGCUGAUCAAAACAGCAAAAGCAAAGCAGUGUCCCUCGCCCAGUUCUGAAGCCAACUUUCCUGAAUCACCCAGACCCAUCCCUGGUUAGGACUUGCUGUGGAUUCUCAGGGGACUCCAUCUCAGGAUACAGGGAUUGAGAGGGUGUAUGCAACAUCUCAGACCCAGAAACCGUUAAUUUUGUCUAAAAGCACAGCAAUAACUACAUCCCACCCUCUUGAUUUAAAUGAAAGUGUUUGGAGGAAUAAAAGAUGAACUUUUUUUUUUU